rnacentral:lncRNA from 1 species
GGCUCACUGCAAGCUCCGCCUCCCGGGUUCAGGCCAUUCUCCUGCCUCGGCCUCCCGUGUAGCUGGGACUACAGGCGCCCGCCACCACGCCCGGCUAAUGUUUUCUAUUUUUAGUAGAGACGGGGUUUCACUGUGUUAGCCAGGAUGGUCUCCAUCUCCUGAUCUCGUGAUCCACCCGCCUCGGCCUCCCAAAGUGCUGGGAUUACAGGUGUGAGCCACCGCGCCCGGCCAACACUCU